rnacentral:rRNA from 1 species
CCACGGGCGGCUGCAGUGGGGAAUAUUGGACAAUGGGGGCAACCCUGAUCCAGCCAUGCCGCGUGUGUGAAGAAGGCCCUCGGGUUGUAAAGCACUUUCAGUGAGGAAGAACGCCUGGUGGUUAAUACCCAUCAGGAAAGACAUCACUCACAGAAGAAGCACCGGCUAACUCCGUGCCAGCAGCCGCGGUAAUACGGAGGGUGCGAGCGUUAAUCGGAAUUACUGGGCGUAAAGCGAGCGUAGGUGGCUUGAUAAGCCGGUUGUGAAAGCCCCGGGCUCAACCUGGGAACGGCAUCCGGAACUGUCAAGCUAGAGUGCAGGAGAGGAAGGUAGAAUUCCCGGUGUAGCGGUGAAAUGCGUAGAGAUCGGGAGGAAUACCAGUGGCGAAGGCGGCCUUCUGGACUGACACUGACACUGAGGUGCGAAAGCGUGGGUAGCAAACAGGAUUAGAUACCCUGGUAGUC